UAGGGUUUUGGGGGAGUCUCCGUGGUGAUCUGCGGCCGAAAGCUUAGGGAAGAAAAGACUGCUCAAUAAAACCCCGGGAACGUGAAGAAAGCUAUCGUCGUCGUCGUCGUCCUGUUGCCGGGAGUCUGUUGUUUCCUUAGGUUUCUUUGCUUGGACUGCGGGGGAAGAGAAGAAGAAGAAGAAGAAGAAGAAGACGUCUGAACAGUGGACAGAGAAAUGCGCGGUAAAGAACAGUGGAGAGGGGGAGCAGCGGGGGGGAGUCAAGAGCGCACCAGAGGCCAUUAACUGCCCUGCCAUCGGAGAUCAGGCGGAAAGACGGCUGCUGGUUCGGGAAUUGACUCUUCUUCCUCCCACUCCUCCUCUCUGUCAGUGGCUUGUCUUCGUCCUCUUCUUCUUCUUCUUCUUCUUCUUCUGACUGUGUACGUUAGGUGUG
rnacentral:lncRNA from 1 species